CUAUCCCCCGCUCGAGCGAUGCCCUACCGCUCUCUCUCAUCCCUGCUCCUCCUCUCGCCCUCCCUCUUUCGCUCUCGUUCUCCCCGUCUAAACCUCCCUCAACGCAUCUCACCUGUCCGUUUUUCAAUCAACUCGUCAAUCCCUCCCUCUUUCGCCUCCGUUCGUGCGACCUGGAUUGCAUCAGGCUGAGGCAUCAACAUUGAGGAAAGAAGAGCUGAAUGGUCCGAACCCUAACCCCCCUUCCAUUGCAGGAGAACCCGAACCUCAUAGGUCAGCUGCCGCUGCAUUUUUUGAAACUAUAUCGCUACGGUUCUUUCUGCUUCAUUUGAUUUUGGUGACCUUGCUUCAAUAAUCCUUGCUGCGUCGUUCCAUUUAUUAUCUGAAAUUUAGCAGUUCUUUCUGCUGCAUUUAAUUUUUAAGGUAAGACGAUCGAAAGUACAUCAAACAUUUGGCUAAAUCUGAUGCUUAUGUUGUUUGGCAAAACUGCUUCGACCAGCCUUUGUAAUUCCGAACCAUUUCAUACCGAGUAGCAAUGGAAUCAAAAAAGGCCUGUUUCAAUCCAAAGUUGUAGACUGUUCUACUGCUUCAUACUAAAUGAGGCAUUGACAAAGGACAGAGACGCAUGCUCAUUUCAAAGGGCUUCAUAUAUGCAUGUCACCUCCGAACUUGUGUGACCUGUAAGAAGCUCAAAUUUUAACUAGGAGGAGCGUUUAUAGCGAUUUUCUGGUGAAGGCGCCGCAUGUUAUAAGAAAUACCUCAUUUUCCAUGAGGGGCCGUUUGAUGGCUUGAAAAAAUACUAUUCACCCGGAAAAAAAAUCAAAAUUUCAAAAUUUUUCCAUUUGACAAACGCAGAAAAAAAUUUUCGACCGUUGAGGUCGAUUCCGGAAAUUUUUGUCCGGAAAAAAAUUUCCAUCUGAGAGACGGAAAUAUUUUUCCGGAAAUUUUUAAGCGACCGUUAGGCCGCGGUCGCCUCUCGCAGCCGCAGCCCUCUUCGUCUUCGUCCUUACGCAACGCAGACUCUGCAUCCUCACGCGCCGUGAAGCAGGAGGUUCAUUUCUCCCGCGGCUUCUCUUCCGCUCUCGGUGCGUCGGGCAUCUAUCGCCCGCCGCCGGUGAAAGGGUUGCAGAAAUCGCGUCCCCUCAUCAGCGUGCUCACCGUCAGCACUUCAGCAGCAUUCAUCUUCUGCCAAGUUCGAGCCGGUCGACUGAAGCUAGACGACCCUCUUGCUUCCUGCGCGUUCCUGUUUCAGGUCAUAUUUCUCUCCUGCUUUCUCUCUGUUCUCUCUCGCACUCUGUUUUUCUCUUGUUUUUCCCGGCCCCCUUUUGUCCAUUCCGCCAAUUCUUCAGCAGCAUUCGUCUUCUGCCGGCGUCGAGCAAGUGGCACACCUGAAAUAAAAAAAAGAAAGCUUAAUACAGGAGAGGAGUUGCUAAAUGUGCAGCUGCUGCUGAUGAUCCAUGACUUAUGGUUUUUAAGCUUUUCUUUUUCCAUAUAUUUUUGGGUUCGGCGUUUGAUCUGCAGGCAUUACAUCUGCAGGCAUUUCAGUUCUUGUUUUUUCUUUUUUUUUUCUCUUCUGCAUUUUGAUCGCAUGGUGGUUAUGGCGUCAGUUUUCCAGCUUCAUUUGAUAUUCUCUUAGAGUUAUGUUGCGGUAUUUACUACAUGAAGGGGUGUAACACUCUAUUUCCCCAUACGCCUUUUAAGAUUUUGCUGAAUGAGAAGAAUUACAGAGAGGGUGCACAUAGAUGUACAUUUUUUGUUCAAUAAGGCCUUUUGCUUCUAGAGAAUGGAUGUUCUGCCGCUGAUUCUGAUGUUCUUUUGUUUGAAUUCAUCUGGUUCAUUGUUUCUGUUCUUAAUUACCUUUAGUUUCUUGAAAUUGAGAGUACAGACUUGCGGUUCAGUAUAUUUUUUCAACAACUUAUCAUCUUAUCGUCUGGUUUGUGUGAAUGUGAUCCUCCUUUUGUGUUGUUGGUUUUUUGAACUUUUUUGUGUGAAUGUGAUCUUCCUUUUGUGUGAAUGUGAUCCUCCUUAAGAUGAUCCGCCUCUCUCUCUCUCUCUCUCUCUCUCUCUCUCUCUCUCUCUGUGAUGGUUGUUUGUUUCUUAUUUGGCUUGGUUUUGUUUCUUUUGGAUUUCAAUUAUUGCAUAUGAGGGCGCAAUUGUUGUUCAUAAUUGAAAAUGGGUAAUCUUCAUCCUCAAGAUAAUGGUCAUUAAAUUUGUCAGAUUCUUUCUCUGAGCACAUGCUCUGGGCUUCUCCCUCGUUGAACCUUCUCUGUUUUUCAGUUUGUUUGUCUAAAAUAGGAAAUAGACGAAAGGUUUUCUCUGCUGAGAGGAAUUUGCAACAGAUUCAACGUGGCCUCUGCAAAUUGUGCGUAGCAGGGUAUAUCAUGGAGAGAACUGUUUCCAUCAAUGGAACAAAUUGAUGAGUCCACGGAAAACGGUGGAUGGUAGCUAUAUUAUCUUGACGAGAUAAAACUGCUAUGGGAUUAUCUUUUAAAAACCAGAAAGGCCCCAUACUUUUCUGGAAAAGGGUGAAUCUGUGUUCUGAUUUUGAUAGACUUCUGAAACCUGAUAUAAGAUGCUUUGGUAACCUUGUAUCAAGUUGAAAUGCAUAAAUAAAGCAUCCAAAAGCUACUGCAAUUUAAAAUGUUGGGAGUUAUCGGAUGUUCAUGUGAAUGGAGAUUUGCACGUAUCAAAUUGUUUAUGUGGUCUUCGUUCCAGACAAACUUAGCUUACUAUUGUUAAUUGCGACCUAUGUGCAUAGCAUGAAAUUACAUUUUUCAAUUCCUACAAUCCUCCUUGAUACUAAUUUGAAUAUUUGUUAUGCACAAACUGAAGACUCGUGUCAUAAAGCAGAAUGUCAAUCCAGAAUGGAAUGAAAAUUUGACGCUUUCAGUUCUGAUCCCAUUUUGCCGGUCAAAAUUGUAUGUUCUCUUCUUUCCCAGCUACUUAUUUCUUGUUUUGCACCGAAAAUAUGCUCGUUAAUUGCCUGAUAAUUUUUUUGGUAAAAUGCUAUGCUUCUGAAAAUAUAAUUCUUUUUCAUCAAACAUAGAAAUAUAUUUCUGGAAAUAUAUUUCUCAGUCAUCACACACACACCAAAAUUGGAAUCGAAAAGAUUUUUCCCAUUCAUUUUUUCCAGAAAAUAUAUUUCCAAAAAUAUAUUUCCAAAAAUAUAUUUCCAAUUUCACAUUUCCACACCAUCAAACGGCCCCGAAAUAUUUUGCGGACCGUUAGGGCACGGUCGCGCGUAUUGCCUCUUCCCUCAGUCGCCUCUCCCAGCCGCAGCCCUCUUCGUCCGCAGCGCAGCCUCUUCGUCCUCACGUGCCGUGAAGCAGCAGCCCGCAGCCUUCUUCCUGCUGCCGCGACUGUGUGCGCCAUCUUUGUUCAUUUCGUUCUACUAGGUGUCCCUUCCCCUUGACGCCGUCCACCUCUCGUCCAGCAAAAACCACGCGUGCCACGGACGGGAGAGCUGCCUUAUCGCAGACCCCAUCCUGCCGCCCAUACACCUUUGCACUUCCCCACACCGUGACGAUUUGGGGAGGAAUCUCAGCAAUCGGACCGUGCCAGCAUUUUUCCCACCCUUUGGCGACACCCUGGACCAACCUUGAGGAGGAUCCGACGGCAAUCAACAAGCCAGAUCGCCCCUGCCGGAAUCGGAAGCACUUCUUCUUCCACUACUUCGUUUCUCAUCUAUAUAUGGUUCUUGCGGGAAAAUGAAUUAAGUUGAGCAGAUCCCUUGCUCUCAUCAGUGCGCUCACGGUCAGCACUUCAGCAGCAUUCAUCUUCUGCCAAGUUCCAGCCAGUGGACUGAACCUAUACGACCCUCUUGCUUCCUGCGCGUUCUUGUUUCAGGUGAAGGUGCCACACAUGUCUGGGUACUGCAUGCAUCACCUCAGAUAAAAAGUCCCUUG